rnacentral:SRP_RNA from 1 species
GCUUGGGUGUAACAGUAGUCCCAGCUAAUGGGAGACUGAGGUAGGAAGAUUGCAUGGGCCCAGGAAUUUGGGACUGUAAUGCUCCAUGCUGAUGGGGUGUCCAUUCUAAAUUCAGCAUGAGGAGGGGUGAACUGGCCCAGUUCAGAGAUGUAGCAGAUCAUAACUCAUGUGCUGAUCAUUAGUGGGAUCACACCUGCCCCCCAGCCUGGGCAACAUAGCAAAGCCUUAUGUCUU